rnacentral:rRNA from 1 species
AGAGUUUGAUCCUGGCUCAGGAUGAACGCUGGCGGCGUGCUUAACACAUGCAAGUCGAACGAAGCACCUUGAUUUGAUUCUUCGGAUGAAGAUCUUGGUGACUGAGUGGCGGACGGGUGAGUAACGCGUGGGUAACCUGCCUCAUACAGGGGGAUAACAGUUAGAAAUGACUGCUAAUACCGCAUAAGACCACAGCACCGCAUGGUGCAGGGGUAAAAACUCCGGUGGUAUGAGAUGGACCCGCGUCUGAUUAGGUAGUUGGUGGGGUAACGGCCUACCAAGCCGACGAUCAGUAGCCGACCUGAGAGGGUGACCGGCCACAUUGGGACUGAGACACGGCCCAAACUCCUACGGGAGGCAGCAGUGGGGAAUAUUGCACAAUGGGGGAAACCCUGAUGCAGCGACGCCGCGUGAGCGAUGAAGUAUUUCGGUAUGUAAAGCUCUAUCAGCAGGGAAGAAAAUGACGGUACCUGACUAAGAAGCCCCGGCUAACUACGUGCCAGCAGCCGCGGUAAUACGUAGGGGGCAAGCGUUAUCCGGAUUUACUGGGUGUAAAGGGAGCGUAGACGGCAUGGCAAGCCAGAUGUGAAAGCCCGGGGCUCAACCCCGGGACUGCAUUUGGAACUGUCAGGCUAGAGUGUCGGAGAGGAAAGCGGAAUUCCUAGUGUAGCGGUGAAAUGCGUAGAUAUUAGGAGGAACACCAGUGGCGAAGGCGGCUUACUGGACGGUAACUGACGUUGAGGCUCGAAAGCGUGGGGAGCAAACAGGAUUAGAUACCCUGGUAGUCCACGCCGUAAACG